GCCUGUAUCCUGAGGCUGGAGGAGGGGGUCUGCAGAUACAUUCUGGCAGUUUCUGUUCUGAAUUUUGAUGAUUGUCUAUUGAAAAAUUGCAUGGGCCAUCCUGUGUCAAGACAAUCAUUGCUGUCUCCUCCUUUUAGAAGGAACAAACACUGUAUCAACACUGUGCAGAUGUGUUUUAACCCAGCAGAAUAUUUCAGUGAGUUUUAUGGCCUCAUUUUCCACUAAAGUUGUGCCCGGACAGUGCAAAGCAGAACUGUGGGAGAAGGACUUGAGACCAGCUCUGAGCAAGCAGGAGUAUCUCCACUGCUCAGCACUGCAACAUGUUGUCAAAAUUAUUGACAGCAUUUUGGGGAUGCCAGAAUAUUGGCACAGUGUGGAUGGGGCUAUUUCAGGGAUCUUUCCACCAAGUGGCAGAGAUGUAACCGAGCUACAUUAGUAGCAGCCCAAACAAGCAGUAACAAAAGUUUAAUGGCACAGGGAAACUAGUAAAAAUACCAAAGUUGAUGGUUUUCUUCCAACAAUCAGAAGCAUUCAAAAUUAGAAAUAUUGAAUAAAUAGAAAGAAUGACUUAGUGUCAAAGGUCAUGUUUAAGAUUGAAACUGAUAAACAAGUGUAUUUCAAGAU